rnacentral:rRNA from 1 species
UACAGAGGUGGCAAGCGUUGUUCGGAAUUACUGGGCGUAAAGGGCGCGUAGGCGGUCUUGUAAGUCCCGUGUGAAAUCCCUCGGCUCAACUGAGGAACUGCACGGGAAACUGCUUGGCUUGAGUUCGGGAGAGGGAAGCGGAAUUCCGGGUGUAGCGGUGAAAUGCGUAGAUAUCCGGAGGAACACCGGUGGCGAAGGCGGCGCGCUGGGCUGGAACUGACGCUGGGGAGCGAAAGCGUGGGUAGCAAACAGG